rnacentral:lncRNA from 1 species
GAUAAUGUACUGUUUCUCUCCACCACCCACUUUCACCUAUGAGUUACAGCAAUAUAAAAAGUGUACAAGUUUGGGGAGAUUUGGGGGUAGAAUUCUUCCCCAGUCUUCCAUCAUCUAGUCUGAAGUCUCUAAAAUAAGAAUCACAUCAGAAAAAUGAGAUACGGAAAACCGUUAACAGCAAAGUCUCCAAGCAUGGUUCCUGCUGGCCUGUGACCCUUUGAGGAAGGCCCCUAUAAAAAGGGAGGCACUAAAACU